UUAUGAAUGAAGAUGGAGUCUUUAGCCUAAAAUUUCUUGAGAUAAUCAGUGUUGCCUGGUUCAUCCAAUGAAUCAGAAUGAUCACUCCAUUUGCAGACUAUCAGGUUCCAAUCUGAAGUAUACAAGGGAAGAGUAAAAUCUUUUUCAUUCCUAUUUACAAACACUUACUAGAUCCAGAAGAAUGUCCUGAUUGCUUUUUGCACCAUAAUAUGAAUUUCAAUCUGACACAUAAUUCUGAAAAAUUGAGUGGAACACCAUGAUCACUGGAUGGUCUUCUUCAAGCUGGCAUGUCUUUGUCACAAUAUCUUGACUCUGCAUUGUCAUCAAAACUUUGCAUUCCUUAAAAUACAAAGACAAUUUUUAUAAACUAAAACAACAGACUUGAUAAAAAGGCUAAUAUUAAAAAAAAACAUGUCAUUAUUUACCCCUUUUUUUCGUUUUUAAUUAUUUUAUGAAAUUAAAACCCUUGCGAAAAUUAGAACCUGCGACUUACUGUCAAGCAGAGGUGUCCAGAAAUAAGAUAAACGGCUCCUUUGAUGGUAGGAUAACCAGAUGAUGUAGAUCAGUCACUGCAACAACAGAAAUAGAACCUCUGUCGGCCGUGAAGUCACCUCAGGAAGAAUGCCGAGAAUAUCUGAAUGCUAUGGAUUCAUGGUGUCAUCAUACUGUAUAUAUCCACCACUGAAGCCUAAGAUAUAAAUAUACAAUAUUUUCCUGCAGGCCAGCUUGGCGAAAUUCUAUUUUCUUCCGUUUUCUUCUUAGCACAAAAUUUGUAA